UACGUAGGGGCUAGCGUUAUCCGGAUUUACUGGGCGUAAAGGGUGCGUAGGCAGUCUUUCAAGUCAGGGGUGAAAGGCUACGGCUCAACCAUAGUAAGCUCUUGAAACUGUAAGACUUGAGUGCAGGAGAGGAGAGUGGAAUUCCUAGUGUAGCGGUGAAAUGCGUAGAUAUUAGGAGGAACACCAGUUGCGAAGGCGGCUCUCUGGACUGUAACUGACGCUGAGGCACGAAAGCGUGGGGAGCAAACAGGAUUAGAUACCCCGGUAGUCCCU
rnacentral:rRNA from 1 species